rnacentral:rRNA from 1 species
CAGGCCUAACACAUGCAAGUCGAACGCGAACGUCCUCUUCGGAGGGCUAGUAGAGUGGCGGACGGGUGAGUAACACUUGGGAAUCUACCCGACAGUGGGGAAUAACCCGGGGAAACUCGGGCUAAUACCGCAUACGUUCCACGGAAGAAAGGGGGCCUCUUCUUGAAAGCUCCCGCUGACGGAUGAGCCCAAGUCGGAUUAGCUAGUUCGUGAGGUAACGGCUCACGAAGGCAACGAUCCGUAGCUGGUCUGAGAGGAUGAUCAGCCACACUGGGACUGAGACACGGCCCAGACUCCUACGGGAGGCAGCAGUGGGGAAUAUUGGACAAUGGGCGAAAGCCUGAUCCAGCAAUGCCGCGUGUGUGAAGAAGGCCUGCGGGUUGUAAAGCACUUUCAGCAGGGAAGAAACGCCGGGGACUAAUACUCCCGCGGUACUGACGUUACCUGCACAAGAAGCACCGGCUAACUCCGUGCCAGCAGCCGCGGUAAUACGGAGGGUGCGAGCGUUAAUCGGAAUUACUGGGCGUAAAGCGCGCGCAGGCGGUUCGGUAAGUCAGAUGUGAAAUCCCCGGGCUUAACCUGGGAAUUGCAUUUGAUACUGCCGAACUAGAGUAUGGGAGAGGGAAGUGGAAUCUCCGGUGUAGCGGUGAAAUGCGUAGAGAUCGGAGGGAACACCAGUGGCGAAGGCGGCUUCCUGGCCCAAUACUGACGCUCAGGCGCGAAAGCGUG